GCUGGGUGUGGUGGUGCAUGCCUGUAAUCCCAGUGACUCAGGAGGUUGAAGCAGGAGGAUUUCAAAUUCGAAGCCAGUCCCGGCAACUUAAUGAGGCCCUAAGCAAUUUAGGGAGACCCUGCCUCAA
rnacentral:sRNA from 1 species